rnacentral:rRNA from 1 species
UACGUAGGGUGCAAGCGUUGUCCGGAAUUAUUGGGCGUAAAAGAGCUCGUAGGCGGUUUGUCGCGUCUGCUGUGAAAAUCCAGGGCUUAACCCUGGACCUGCAGUGGGUACGGGCAGACUAGAGUGCGGUAGGGGAGAUCGGAAUUCCUGGUGUAGCGGUGAAAUGCGCAGAUAUCAGGAGGAACACCGGUGGCGAAGGCGGAUCUCUGGGCCGUAACUGACGCUGAGGAGCGAAAGCAUGGGGAGCGAACAGGA